rnacentral:RNase_P_RNA from 1 species
AGCGACGGGCGUGUAGCUGCCUGUAUCGACCUGGUAAGGUUAUGGUACAGGAGGAAAGUCGGGACUCCGAAGGGCAGGUUGGCCGUUAACGGCGGCCUUGAGUAAUCAAGGGAAAGUGCCACAGAGAACAGACCGCCGUGGCGAGUUUCUAUGAAGGGGCUUGUCAGGGUAAGGGUGAAACGGUGAGGUAAGAGCUCACCAGCAGAUAGGGUAACCUAUCUGGCUUGGUAAACCCCAGCUGGAGCAAGGCCGAGUAGGGAAGUUUCGUUAUCUCUCUUUACCUUCGGGUAAGGGGAUUUGCGACAUCGUAGCCCGCGAUGAGUCUUCCGGGUAGAGCUGCAAGAGUGAACCAGCAAUGGUUCGCCUAGAUGAAUGGCUACAGAAAACAGAAUCCCGCUUAUAGCCCAUCCUUCGAC